GGCUAGAAUUGCAUCGUAACAGUGUGGUCACACUGGUAAGAAAUGCAGAUUGGCAAUCAUGUACAUCUCUGAUUAAAACAACACUCACAUAACCAACACAAUUUGCUAGGCCAAAGUCUUCACGGGCAAUCCCUGGGGUGGGAGUCUGGGAUGGGGUGGAUAAUGAAGGAUACCUGGGGUUGCAGAAGUGGGGUGGGAAUCCCUGGGGCAUCAGUCCACAGGAGGUGGGGGCCAGCGAUGGCUUCAGGGGUGAUAUUUCCAAUAUAUAUCAGCCCUGGGCACUCUCGCCCUGCUGCUCACAGCAUGGUCCUCACACCAGCAGCCUCCGCCUUACCUGGGAGCUUGUUAGAAAUGCAGGAUCUCCCAGAUCUAUUGAGUUAGAAGCUGUAUUAACAAGAUCCCCAGUGAUUUUUAUGCACAAUCAAGUUUGUGAGGCACCGCUGCAGACUUCUGAGUGCAGGAAUGCGGCAGCCCUGGGUAGGUGUGGUUAGAAGGCCUGGACGGGGAGGCUGUGCGGAGGGGAUGAUGAAAGCAUGGGUGAGGGGAGAAGACCCUAAACAGCUGUCUUUGUCGAGUCCUUGGGAAGGGAAGUCAGGAGCGUGUUGCUGGGUUCCUCACUCC
rnacentral:lncRNA from 1 species